rnacentral:rRNA from 1 species
AGCAUAUCAAUAAGCGGAGGAAAAGAAACUAACAAGGAUUCCCCUAGUAACUGCAAGUGAAGCGGGAAAAGCUCAAAUUUAAAAUCUGGCAGUCUCUGAUUGUCCGAGUUGUAAUUUAGAGAAGUGUUACCCAUGCUGGACCAUGUAUAAGUCUUUUGGAAUGGAGCGUCAUAGAGGGUGAGAAUCCUGUCUUUAACAUGGACUACCAGUGCAUUGUGGUAUGCUCUCAAUGAGUCGAGUUGUUUGGGAAUGCAGCUCAAAAUGGGUGGUAAAUUCCAUCUAAAGCUAAAUACAGACGAGAGACCGAUAGCGAACAAGUACCGUGAGGGAAAGAUGAAAAGAACUUUGGAAAGAGAGUUAAACAGUAUGUGAAAUUGCUGAAAGGGAAACGCUCGAAGUUAGUCACAUUGGCUUGAGAUCAACCUGGCAUUGCUUGGUGUAUUCUCUUGUUAAUGGGUCAACAUCAGUUUUGACUACUGGAUAAGAGUUGAAGGAAUGUGGCUCCUUUAGGAGUGUUAUAGCCUUUAGCUGUAUACAGUGGUUGGGACUGAGGAUCUCAGCAUGCCUUUAUGGCCGGGUUUCGACCNCGUACGUGCUUAGGAUGUUGGCAUAA